AUUGAACGCUGGCGGCAUGCCUAACACAUGCAAGUCGAACGGAGAUAGGGGCAACCUUAUUUCAGUGGCGGACGGGUGAGGAAUGCGUCGGAAUCUGCCCUAUGGUGGGGGAUAACACAGGGAAACUUGUGCUAAUACCGCAUAAUGUCGAGAGACCAAGGCAGGGACCGCAAGGCCUUGCGCGAUAGGAUGAGCCGACGCCCGAUUAGCUUGUUGGUAGGGUAAUGGCCUACCAAGGCGACGAUCGGUAGCUGGUCUGAGAGGAUGAUCAGCCACACUGGGACUGAGACACGGCCCAGACUCCUACGGGAGGCAGCAGUGGGGAAUAUUGCGCAAUGGGGGAAACCCGUGACGCAGCAACGCCGCGUGGGUGAAGAAGGCCUCGGUU
rnacentral:rRNA from 1 species